rnacentral:rRNA from 1 species
GAUGAACGCUGGCGGCGUGCCUAAUACAUGCAAGUCGAGCGAACGGACGAGAAGCUUGCUUCUCUGAUGUUAGCGGCGGACGGGUGAGUAACACGUGGAUAACCUACCUAUAAGACUGGGAUAACUUCGGGAAACCGGAGCUAAUACCGGAUAAUAUUUUGAACCGCAUGGUUCAAAAGUAAAAGACGGUCUUGCUGUCACUUAUAGAUGGAUCCGCGCUGCAUUAGCUAGUUGGUAAGGUAACGGCUUACCAAGGCAACGAUGCAUAGCCGACCUGAGAGGGUGAUCGGCCACACUGGAACUGAGACACGGUCCAGACUCCUACGGGAGGCAGCAGUAGGGAAUCUUCCGCAAUGGGCGAAGGCCUGACGGAGCAACGCCGCGUGAGUGAUGAAGGUCUUCGGAUCGUAAAGCUCUGUUAUUAGGGAAGAACAUAUGUGUAAGUAACUGUGCACAUCUUGACGGUACCUAAUCAGAAAGCCACGGCUAACUACGUGCCAGCAGCCGCGGUAAUACGUAGGUGGCAAGCGUUAUCCGGAAUUAUUGGGCGUAAAGCGCGCGUAGGCGGUUUUUUAAGUCUGAUGUGAAAGCCCACGGCUCAACCGUGGAGGGUCAUUGGAAACUGGAAAACUUGAGUGCAGAAGAGGAAAGUGGAAUUCCAUGUGUAGCGGUGAAAUGCGCAGAGAUAUGGAGGAACACCAGUGGCGAAGGCGACUUUCUGGUCUGUAACUGACGCUGAUGUGCGAAAGCGUGGGGAUCAAACAGG